AUUGAACGCUGGCGGCAGGCUUAACACAUGCAAGUCGAACGAGUGGCGGACGUGUGGGUAAUGCUUGGGAAUCUUGCUUAUGGAGGGGGAUAACUACGGGAAACUGUUGCUGCUACCGCGUACCAUAGGAUGAGCCCGAUUGGGAUUAGGUAGUUGGUGAGGUAAAGGCUCACCAAGCCGACGAUCUCUAGCUGGUCUGAGAGGAUGACCAGCCACACUGGAACUGAGACACGGCCCAGACUCCUACGGGAGGCAGCAGUGGGGAAUAUUGCGCAAGGGGGGAAACCUGACGCAGCCAUGCCGCGUGAAUGAAGAAGGCCUUCGGGUUGUAAAGUUCUUUCGGUAGCGAGGCGUUAACUACAGAAGAAGCACCGGCUAACUCCGUGCCAGCAGCCGCGGUAAUAC
rnacentral:rRNA from 1 species